rnacentral:rRNA from 1 species
GAUGAACGCUGGCGGCGUGCUUAAUACAUGCAAGUCGAGCGGACGGACGAGACGCUUGCUUCGCUGAUGUUAGCGGCGGACGGGUGAGUCACACGUGGAUCACCCACCUAUAAGUCUGGGAUAACUUCGGGAAACCGGCGCUUACACCGGAUAAUAUCUUGAUCCGCGUUGUUCGUAGGUGAGAGACGGUCGUGGUGGCUGUUAUAGAUGCAUCCGCGCUGCAUUAGCUGGUUGUUAAGGUCACGGCUUAUCAAGGCGACGAUGCAUAGCCGACCGGUGAGGGGGAUAGCCCACCCGAGAACGGAGACGCGGUCCAGGGUCCUACGGGAGGCAGCAGUAGGGAAUCGUCCGCAAUGGGCGAAAGCCUGACGGAGCGAGGCCGCGUGAGUGAUGAAAGUCUUCGGAUCGUAAAGCUCUGUUACGAGGGAAGAACAUAUGUGUAAGUUAAUGAGCACAUCGUGACGGUACCUAGUCAGAAAGCAACGGCUAACUACGUG